CUUUGAUGAUGAGACUUUACUUCAUGGUCCGUGUUUCUGAUUUUCAUGAUAAAAGUAGAAGUUCUGAUAAG
ensembl:snoRNA SNORD18 Small nucleolar RNA SNORD18